rnacentral:lncRNA from 1 species
GCAGCGCUGCUCUGAGCAGGGGAUGAGCGUUGCAGCAGGGAGGCAGACAGACGGACAGGACGGACAGGACGGACGGAGACAGGAUGGACAGACGGACAGGGCAGACAGAGAGACAAGAUAGACAGGCCGGACAGGAUGGGCAGGAUGGACAGGAGAGAUAGGCAGGACAGGCAGACAGGAUGGACAGAACGGUCAGGACAGACAGACAAGACAGACAGGACAGACAGACAAGACGGGAUGGACAGGAUGGGCAGGAUGGGUGGGAUGGACAGGGCAGAUAUAGGCAGGAAAGGCAGACAGGAUGGACAGAACGGUCAGGACAGACGGACAAGACGGACAGACAGACAGGAUGGACAGGACGGACAGGACAGAUGGGGUGGACAGGAUGGACAGACAGGACAGACAGACAAGACAGACAGGACGGACAGGAUGGGUGGGAUGGACAGGACAGGUAGGCAGGACAGGCAGACAGGACGGACAGGAGGGACAGGACAGACGGACAGGACGGACAGACAGAGUCAGACAGGAUGGACAGAACGGACAGGACAGAUGGGAUGGACAAGGCAGCCAGACAGGACAGAUGGACAAGACAGACGGGACGGACAGGACGGACAGGGCAGACAGAGAGGCGAGACAGGAUGGACAAGACAGACGGACAGGACAGAUGGACAGAGUCAGGACAGACAGAGGGACGGACAGGACAGCUGGGCAGGACAGACAGAGAGACAAGACAGGCUGGACAGAGGAACGGACAAGACAGACAGGAUGGACGGACAGAGGAACGGACAGGACAGACAGACGGACAGGAUGGACAGACAGAUGAGACAGGCAGGACAGACGGACGCACGUUGUGCCCCGGUGCCCUGUGUCCGGGUGGGGACGCUGCCGCCGCCAUCGCUCGGCUCCCGCGGCGCCGAACCAUUCCAUGGUUCUGUGACCUGCAAGGACCUUUCCGAUUGCACCCAUCCAUUCUAUGAUUCUGUGGCCUUCCAGGACCUUUCCAACCCAGCCCAACCAUUCCAUCGUUCUGUGAUCUUUAAGGACCUUUCCAGUCCAAUCCCACUAUUCCAUGGUUCUUUGAUUUUGAAGGACCAUUGUAUGAUUCUGUGA